CCUACGGGGGGCAGCAGUGGGGAAUAUUGCGCAAUGGGCGAAAGCCUGACGCAGCGACGCCGCGUGAGGGAUGAAGGUCUUCGGAUCGUAAACCUCUGUCAGCAGGGAAGAACGGUCACUGUGCUAAUCAGCAGUGAAUUGACGGUACCUGCAAAGGAAGCACCGGCUAACUCCGUGCCAGCAGCCGCGGUAAUACGGAGGGUGCGAGCGUUAAUCGGAAUUACUGGGCGUAAAGCGCGCGUAGGCGGUAUGUCAAGUCAAGGGUGAAAUCCCCGGGCUCAACGUGGGAACUGCCUUUGAAACUGGCAAACUGGAGUGUGUGAGAGGAUAGUGGAAUUCCAGGUGUAGGAGUGAAAUCCGUAGAUAUCUGGAGGAACAUCAGUGGCGAAGGCGACUAUCUGGAACAUAACUGACGCUGAGGAGCGAAAGCGUGGGUAGCAAACAGGAUUAGAUACCCUUGUAGUC
rnacentral:rRNA from 1 species